rnacentral:lncRNA from 1 species
UUUCCCGGAGGACUAAAACAUCCACAUAGACAGAGCAGUGUUUAUUCUGUUUGCAGCUGUCUCCCAGCAUCUGGGAACUUAAGGAGGCUUCUGAGGAGGCUUCUGGGGAGUGGCCAAGGCCACUCCCACUGCCAAAUGGCAGGUCCGGGAUCAUCCACUCCUUUCUGCAGGGACCAGCAACUUGGUGGGAGGAAAUAGGCCUUGGAUAUAAACAUCUUGGGCUUAGAUCCUGGCUCCGCCUUUUAAAACAAGGCAGCAGACUUCCCAUCCACAUAUUUCCACAUGCAAACAGCAGGGACGGUGGUAUCUGCUCCUGGGUAGAGCAAGGAUUUGGAAGGAUGGUAACUGACACCAGGCCUGGCAACCAGUGGGCACUCAGGAAGUGCUAGCUCCCCAAUUCCUCCAGCUCACAUCAGAGAAGCUGAUACUUAGACUGACUUAGACCUUUUUUUUUUUUGAGACAGAGUCUCGCUGUGUCGCCCAGGCUGGAGUGCAGUGGCGCAAUCUCAGCUAAUUACAACCUCCGCCUCCUGGGUUCAAGCAAUUCUCCUGCCUCAGCCUCCCCAGUAGCUGGGAUUACAGGCACCUGCCACUAUGCACAGCUAAUUUUUCAUAUUUUUAGUAGAGGCAGGGUUUCACCAUGUUGGUCAGGCUGGUCUUAAACUCCUGACCUCAGGUGAUCCGCCUACCUUGGCCUCCCAAAGUGCUGGGAUUACAGGCGUGAGCCACUGUGCCCGGCCUCUUAGACUUCUUUUUUUUUUUUUUUUUUUUUUUGAGACAGAGUCUCGCUCUGUCACCAGGCUGGAGUGCAGUGGUGUGAUAUCUCAGCUCACUGCAACCUCCGCCUCCUGGGUUCAAGCGAUUCUUGUGCCUCAGCCUCCUGAGUAGCUGGGAUUACAGGCACGUGCCACCACAUCCAGCUAAUUUUUGUAUUUUUAGUAGAGACAGAGUUUCACCACGUUGGCCAGGCUGGUCUUGAACUCCUGGCCUCAUGAUCCGCCCACCUCAGCCUCCCAAAGUGCUGGGAUUACAGGCGUGAGCCACUGCGCACGGCCUCUUAGGCUUCUUCUUCUUUUUUUUAAUUUUAUUUAUUAUUAUACUUUAAGUUUUAGGGUACAUGUGCACAAUGUGCAGGUUUGUUACAUAUGUAUACAUGUGCCAUGUUGGUGUGCUGCACCCAUUAACUUGUCAUUUAGCAUUAGGUAUAUCUCCUAAUGCUAUUCCUCCCCCCUCCCCGCUUAGUAGACUUGUCCUCCUUCCUAGCUGCUGAUGGUUCUCAAGUAAGCCUUGAGUAGCAUCGCCAGGGGGCGCUGGCAGUAACAGAACCAGCUUGGAAGCGAUCUUCACAGACUUGCUGACUUGGCAAACAGCCCUGACACUGUGGGGUUUUUGGACUUUUGCCUAUCAGUGGAAAAUGUCGCCCUUCUGGUUCCCUAAUAUCUGGUUUGGUUAAUCACCUCCCAUGAACUUUGACUCUGCCAGUGUUUCCAGCUCUAAAAAGCCUCUGAACCUGAGUUGGAACUAAUUCAACAACAGGACUUGUUAGCAAAUGUCUUCAGCCUAACCACCCCCAAACUGAGCUGAGGCACCCCGGGGCACUGCAGAUAACUCAGAAGGGCGCCAAAUGGAUAUCUGACAUUUGAGGGAAACGGCCACCGCAGUAUCUGCAGGACACCGCGUGAACUACUCGCUCGAGACAGUUCAGCUUCAAAGUACGAUCACGCACGUGACAUUCCCUUUGAUAAUGUAUCUCUAUGAAGCUAUGUUUUUGCAGGUCACUGUGAUUAAAAGUACUUCAAGGAGAAAAUGUGGGAUAUGAAGGUGGUGGUGUCCUAUCUGAUUUCAAGGGUUGAGAUGUGCAACAAGGCAUACAUCCCGUUAAUAAUCUGGCGGUUUGGAAAUGGAAGGACCCUUUUUCUUUCAACUUAUGUCACGCUUUUCAAAUGGCUACUAAGUUGUUAGGAUAAAGACUUAUUAUUCGACCUCACUGCUUCAUAAACAGAACUGUUGGGUAUUUGUUUUGGCCUGGGUUGCCCUGAAACAAUGACUGAGAUAUUAACAGGGCUGUGAUCCAAAAGAGUUGGGGAAACUUGGCUUUAACUUUGCAGAAAUCUGUAAGUCCUCUUAGAGUGUCCCGUCCAUGCUAAAAAUAUUUCCAACCACCCAGACCAAAGAGGUGGGAGGAGAUACUUCAAAAUACAAGGUGCUUUAGAAGUCGGUGCCAGAGGAGAAAGCAGCCCAGCCUUCCAGGCCAAGCUGGCUGCCCGUCUGGCCACCCCUCCUCUCUGAACUUCCGUGUUCCUCAUCCGUAAAAUGAGGGGGCUGGACUGCGAUGAGGAUAUUCAUGAGAACUAAGAUCUAAUGCCCACUUAUCAUUUCCCAGGCACCGGUAAAGCCCUUUCUAAGCAUUAGUUAUUCAGAUCUUACAAUAGCCUGUAAGCUGGUGGGAUCAUUAUCCCCAUUUUAUAGAUGAAGAAGCUGAAGCCUGGGCAAGUAAUUUGCCCAAGGUCACUGGGUAUAAGAGAUCACAGCAGCGCUUUUACUCGGGCAAGCCUGACUCCAGAGCUGCCAGCUACUCUGCCUCCUGAAGGCCUUUCCAUGCUGAACUUUUUUUUUUUUUUUUUGAGACAAGGUCUCCCUUGGUUGGCCAGGCUGGAGUGCAGUGGCACAAUCACAGCUCACUGCAGCCUCGACCUUCCCGGGCUCAAGCGAUCCUCCCAUCUCAGCCUCCCAAGUAGCUGAGACUAUAGGUGCCAUGCCCAGCUAAUUUUUGUAGAGAUGGGGUUUCGCCAUAUUGCCCAGGCUAGUCUUGAACUCCUAGGCUCAAGUGAUUCUCCCACCUCGGCCUCCAACAUGUUGAGAUUACAAGUGUGAGCCACUGUGCCUGGCAUCCAUGCUAAUGUUUUAAAAUACACUUAGGACUGAGCAUCCCCAGGUGGAAGCACUGUCAGCAAUGAGCCUACUGCCUGAUACAGAAGCCACUUCCUUCCCCUCAAUUGCCUGCACACUGAACACUGGGGAUCACUUUUUCCUCCUUGAACUUCCCUCUUGUUUUCUUUGGUAUUCUUUUUUUUGAAACGGAGUUUCGCUCUUGUUGCCCGGGCUGGAGUGCAAUGGCGUGAUCUCGGCUCACCGCAACCUCCGCCUCCUGGGUUCAAGCGAUUCUCCUGCUUCAGCCUCCUGAGUAGCUGAGAUUACAGGCAUGCGCCACCACGCCCGGCUUUUUGUAUUUUUAAUAGAGAUGGGGUUUCUCCAUGUUGGUCAGGCUGGUCUCGAACUCCCGACCUCAGGUGAUUCACCCGCCUCGGCCUCUCAAAGUGCUGGGAUUACAGGCGUGAGCCACCACACCCAGCCUUCUUUGGUAUUCUUUUUUUUUUUGAGACGGAGUCUCAUUCUGUCGCCCAGGCUGGAGUGCAGUGGCAUGAUCUUGGCUCACUGCAACCUCUGCCUCCCAGGUUCAAGCGAUUCUCCUGCCUCGGCCUCCCGAGUAGCUGGUGGCGCCAUCAUGCCUGGCUAAUUUUUUGGUAUUUUUAGUAGAUACGGGGUUUCACUGUGUUAGCCAGGAUGGUCUCGCUCUCCUGACCUCAUGAUCUGCCCACCUCGGCCUCCCAAAGUGCUGGGAUUACAGACGUGAGCCACCGCACCCAGCCUCUUCUUUGGUAUUCUUAUCUGUUUUAUUCCAUCAAUAAAAAAAGGCGUAAGAGCAAUUCUAUAAAUUCUUUUGAAGAUUCCAGGAAUGUAAACUAUGUGAAAGGGGCUACCACAGUACUGUGCACAGAUGUCCAAUGAAUAUUAGAGGGUCCCGCCUUAUUUUCUCACCUCUAUCGAGGUAUUUUCCUCUGAUCCUUGUGCUAUUUUCCUUCUAAACACGUGUCCAGGACUGAAGGCUGCUCACCUUUACCCCAAUAUAAAUGUCUAUCCCCCAUUACAACUCGGGUUCCUUCAGGUCAGGCCUGUGGAUUUCACAUCUCUGUCCCCAGCCCCUGCACAUUGUCUGGCACAGAGCAGGUGUUUGGUGACAGCUGGGUUGACUUGGCCAGGGCCACAUUAUCCCAGAUCAGCAGCAGAGCCAAAGCAAAGCUCCCAGAACUCCACACUUGAGCCAGAUGUUCUAAAAGGAGUGAUUCUUAACCCUUUUUGGGCUACAGACCCCUAUGAGGAUCUGGGAAAUGAUAUGAAUUAUUCUUUAAAAAUGUGUGAUUGCCCAUACAUGCAACACAGAAACACUUUUUUUUUUUUUUUUUUUUUUGAGACAGAGUCUUGCUCUGUCGCCCAGGCUGGACUGCAGUGGCAUGAUCUUGGCUCACCGCAACCUCCGCCUCCUGGGUUCAAGCGAUUCUCCUGCUUCAGCCUCCUGAGUAGCUGAGAUUACAGGCAUGCGCCACCACGCCUGGCUAACUUUUUGUAUUUUUAAUAGAGACAGGGUUUCUCCAUGUUGGUCAGGCUGGUCUCGAACUCCCGACCUCAGGUGAUUCACCCGCCUCGGCCUCUCAAAGUGCUGGGAUUACAGGCGUGAGCCACCACACCCGGCCUUCUUUGGUAUUCUUUUAUUUUUGAGACGGAGUCUCAUUCUGUUGCCCAGGCUGGAGUGCAGUGGUGUGAUCUUGGCUCACUGCAACCUCUGCCUCCCAGGUUCAAGUGAUUCUCCUGCCUCAGCCUCCCGAGUAGUUAGUAUUACAGGCAUGCGCUACCACACCCAGCUAAUUUUUUAUAUUUUUGGUAGAGACGGGGUUUCACCAUGUUGGCCAGGCUGGUCUCGAACUCCUGACCUCAAGUGAUCUGCCCGCUUUGGCCUUCCAAAGUGCUGGGAUUACAGGCGUGAGCUACUGCGCCUGGCCGACAAACACUCUUUUGAAUAAAUUUCCUAGAAUUCAUGGAUCCUAUCAAUCCAUCCACUGACUAGGAUAAGAACUUCUACAUGGCCGUUAAAAAGCAUAAGAGAGUUGUAUAUAUGCCAAUAAGGAAAUCUGUCAUAUUAUUGCAUGAAAAAAACAUGGUACAGAAUAGUCCCUAGAGUAGGAUCCCAUUUCUUGUGGGGUUGGGGGACAGGGUCUCACUCUGUUGUCCAGGCUGGAGUGCAGUGGUACGAUCUUGGCUCACUGCAGCCUCUACUUCCUGGGCUCAAGCGAUCCUCCCACCUCAGUCUCCCGAGUAGCUAGGACCACAGGUGUAUGCCACCAUGCCUGGCUAAUUUUUUUUCUUUGUAGAGAUGGGGUCUCUACAAAGAAGUGCUAGGAUUAUAGGUAUAAGUGCCGCACCGCCUGAUCUUUCUUUUUUUUUUUUUUUUUGAGGCAGAGUCUCACUCUGGUGUUGCCAGGCUGGAGUGCAGUGGCACAAUCUCGGCUCACUGCAACCUCUGCCUCCUGGGUUCAAGCAAUUCUGCCUCAGCCUCCCAAGUACCUGGGACUACAGGCACCCGCCACCACACCUGGCUAAUUUUUGUAUUUUUAGUAGAGAUGGGGUUUCACUGUGUUGGCCAGAUCUCCUGACCUUGUGAUCCACCACCCUUGGUCUCCCAAAGUGCUGGGAUUACAGGCAUGAGCCACAGGCCUGGCCUGAUCUUACUUCUUUUUUUUUUUUUUUUUUUUUUGAGACUGAGUCUUGCUCUGUCACCCAGGCUGGAGUGCUGUGGCGUGAUCUUGGCUCACUGCAACCUCCGCCUCCCAGGUUCAAGCAAUUCUCUGCCUCAGCCUCCUGAGUAGCUGGGAUUACAGGCACCUGCCACCACACCCGGCUAAUAUUUGUAUUUUUAGUAGAGAUGGGGUUUCACCAUCUUGGCCAGAGGCUGGUCUUGAACUCCUAACCUUGUGAUCCACCUGCCUCAGCCUCCCAAAGUGCUGGGAUUACAGGUGUGAGCCACCGUGCUCGGCCCUGAUCUUACUUUUAAUUGCAAACAAAUAUAGGCUCAUUAUAAAAGAAUGCAAAUGAUACCAAAAAAAGCAAAAGUCUCCAUUCCCCAGUCCUAUUCUCAGAGGUAACUGCCCUUUGACAGAUAUCUUUUUAGACUUUUGAAAUUUCUUUUUUAUUUCUAUUUUUUACUCUUUUGUAGACAUGCGAUCUCGCUAUGUUGCCCAGGCUGGUCUCCACCUCUUGGCCUCAAGCAAUCCUCCCACCUCAGCCUCCCAAAGUACUGGGAUUACAAGCGUGAGCCACUGUACCCAGCCUGGACUUUUUAUGCGUGUAUAAACAAGUAGUUGUUUCUUCUAUUAAAAUGGGAUCCUGGUGGGGCACAGUGGCUCACACCUGUAAUCCCAGCACUUUGGGAGGUUGCCCAGGAGUUUGAGUCCAGCCUGGGCAACAUAGUGAGAUCCUGUUUCUACAAAAAAUAAAAAAUUAGCUGGGUGUGGUGGUGCGUGCCUAAAGUCCCAGCUAUGUGGGAAGCUGAGGCAACAGGGUUGUUUGGGUCUGUGGGGCUGAGGCUGCAGUGAGCUGUGAUCAUGCCACUGCAUACUAGCCUGGACAACAGAGCGAGAUCCUGUCUCAAAAAAAAAAAAAAAAGAAAGAAAAGAAAAAAGAUCAAACAAAACCUUAAAAAUAAAAACAACUGCAUCAAACCCUGGACCUAUGGCCAAUCAGCAUCUAGAUCAGGAGGAUGAAGGGAGUGCUGGCACUGCCACGUGACACCUUACACACUGGAUUCUCCCCAAGGAGCAUCAGGGGGGCACAGACUUGCUCUGAUCCGAUGUGCAGCCUGACCUCUGAUGCCUGAUCCACCUCCCGGUCCCCAUCUCCUAAUCAGGGAACUGUUUCUCCUGCUCUUCCAGCUGAAAACCCUAAAGGACACCACUGCCUUGAGGGAAAGCAGGGGCUGUCUGCCCAACCAAUGGCAGCUGUGCAGGCUGCCAAAGAGCCAUCCCCACUGCAUUCUCCGGGGUGGGAAGGAAGUGGUUCUGUGAGUGGCAGCUCUGGUGGGCUUGAGCUGCAGCUCUGGUGCUGAGAAGUCCAUGCCUUGUGCUUGGAGCUUUUCCAACUGCCUUGCAGUGGAUGCGAGGGGCGAGACAUGGAGUAUUUAUCCUCUUCCACUAUAUUAGGGUUGUUUACCUUGUUGCCUGGGAGGACUCUUGAGGCCCUCAGCAGGGGAACAGCUGAGAAGCCCAGUGACUAAGCUCCCAGCACUGGGUGCGCGUCUCUUCACACUCUCACACUCUCCUCCCACCACCUCUCAAGAGGGACAGCUGAGCCUUCUCCGGUAGCCUGGGGAGGGGAAUUGCAGCUGAGCAGGUCAGGCACGUGGCCUUGGCCUCCCCCAGUGGAAGACGAUGAUCCACACUGGCAAGAACUCGGCAAGAACUCAGCACGCACUCAGCACGUGUUGCCAGUCAGGGGUGGUGAGGGCGGAGUUUUCGUAUUCGACACAGUGUGUCUGAAGUUUGGGGUGGUACCUGCAGAUAGUCCCCUCACUGGUCUCACCAUCCAGCCCAAGUACACACCAGGGAAGCCGGGUUUAUUCACAUCCCAGCUGUCUCCUCUCCCCUUAAGGCCACAGGCACCCUGGACGGUGGUGGCAGCGUCUGCUCUGAAUGGAGCCAGCGUGUGCCAGGCUUUUGUGCUCUGGCUACAGUGAGCAUUUCCUGUGUCAGGUUGGUGCUCCAAAAGUUUUGGAUUUUGGAGCACUUCAGAUUUUGGGUUUUCAGAUUGCGGAUGCUCUACCUGUAUUUGUUGCUUUUCUUUCGGGGAUUGGAGUGUCUCUGACAUAAGCCACUUGAAACAAGGUAUAUCUCAGAGCUUACUUCACCCUGCCCAGAGGGCCAAGGGGAUGGUCCACAGAAACGCGCCUUAGGUCCUGGUGCUGGCUUUGAGGCCGAGAGCUUUGACUGGGGACAAGGUGGCUUCCAAUCAAGAUGAUCUGAGAGUUGGGGGUGGGGGAAAGGUUGGUGACAGGGAGAAGGACCGACACCUGUAAGGUCUGUCGGUCUGCAGCCGCCACCGAUGCUCCCUCUGGGCCCGGAUAGUGUGAUCUGACAGGAGGAGGCCUCAGCUCCAGGCCCAGCAUGCCACACUGUCCUCUCUGCUCUCCACUUCUAACAUCAGUGAGAUGAAGGGGUGGGAGGGGUGAUUCCUGUCUUCUGUCUCUACUCAAAACUCUAGGACAAGAAGUCUAUCUUCUUCCCUCUUCUUCCUGAAGAGUGGUUGAAAGCCGAACUCUCAGGUCAGACAGACCUGGUCUGAUUCAGGGCUCUUGCCACCCGGCCAGUGACUUCCUGUCUUGCCAAGCUUCAUGUCCCCAACAUGUCUGUCUUGCAGGACUGUGGCACGCCUGGCCAACAGGGGGCACAGCUCCGACUCUGGCAGAUCUGCCCACUCCCACUGAGGCUGGCUUCCUCCUAGAAGCACCCCACAGGUGGAGGCUACUGCUUUCCUAUCAUCUGGCCCAGGUCAGGGGCGGCCUCCUAUGUGGUUCAGGGGUUUUACCUCAGUGUGAAUUUCAUGACGCUCCAACCAUCUUCCACGUUGGGACUUGCCCCUCAGGCCCUGGCUGUAUUGAGACACCGAGGCCACGUGUGUCCUCUCACACUGCCUCUCACAUACACACAUGCCAGGGGCAGCAGCCAGGCCAGGACACGUGACAGGCUGCUCCCUUCCAGUUCCAGCCGACCUCAGGUGGCUAGUGAUAGCCAAGUUCUGUUCACAAGUCAGACCCACGGCCACCCUGCGACUGUCCUGGACAGAAAGCAGAGGGAACACACCAGGCCCCCUUCCUGGCUUCCCUCUUCACUCAGCCCCUGAGCCCUGGCGUACCUUUUUGACAGCGCACUGGAAGCCAGUCUGCUUGUCCUCCAUCCUGUGCACCUCUCCGAAGGAGCCUCUGCCCAGGCAGGGGCUUUGGACUGUCUACACAGGCCAGUUUGCUCAGGUGUGGGUCAGGCAAGGGUUUCUGGC